UACGUAGGGUGCAAGCGUUGUCCGGAAUUAUUGGGCGUAAAGAGCUCGUAGGCGGUCUGUCGCGUCGGCUGUGAAAACCCGGGGUUCAACCCCGGGCCUGCAGUCGAUACGGGCAGACUAGAGUGCGGUAGGGGAGACUGGAAUUCCUGGUGUAGCGGUGAAAUGCGCAGAUAUCAGGAGGAACACCGGUGGCGAAGGCGGGUCUCUGGGCCGUAACUGACGCUGAGGAGCGAAAGCGUGGGGAGCGAACAGG
rnacentral:rRNA from 1 species